rnacentral:rRNA from 1 species
UACGUAGGCAGCAAGCGUUGUUCGGAGUUACUGGGCGUAAAGAGUGCGUAGGUGGUGCCCUAAGUCUGUUGUGAAAUCUCCCGGCUUAACUGGGAGGGUGCGGUGGAAACUGGGGUGCUUGAGUGUGGGAGAGGUAAGCGGAAUUCCUGGUGUAGCGGUGGAAAUGCGUAGAUAUCAGGAGGAACACCGGUGGUGUAGACGGCUUACUGGGUCUUUUCGACGCUGAGGCACGAAAGCCAGGGGAGCGAACGGG